ACGCUCAUUCGGUGGAACCUCUGUUGAUUGGUUGCGUUGGCCUCAGAGGAACACUUUGUACCUUCCUCAGGCAGAAUUUUGAUUCUCUGUUUAAACCAAUUCCUGUGCAUGAAUGGGAAGAUUUGGCCUCGCCAUUAUGGGCAGUCCCUUGGCAUGAAUGUUUGUAUCCAUACACAUCAAGGGGCCUCUCGAUUGUGGGUUUUUAACGGUAGAAUGCUAACAUUAGUGCUUGUUUGAGUACUAACCAUAAUGAAGUUAAACAGAUUCAAGGCCCAAGGCAGAUAUGCUUUAAUAGUUCAAAAAAAGAUACUUGGGAGACAACAUUUUUUUCUUUUUACCUUUCCAACUGGUUUCUCAGGAAACCAAUCUCCUUCCCUUCCUCCCUCCUUUCGAAUUGAAUAUCAAUAUUUGCUUGUGGUAGCCUCUGGACCAUUAACUGUAAAGCAUUCUGUCCUGAAGCAAAGGGGCUCUUCUUAUUUUCUCCCCCCUCAGUUUGGGGUCUCACAAGUUUAAUGACUGUGGCGGUCUCGUACCGCUUUGUGAGCACCCCUAGUAACAGAUCACAGUUUUCAGAAAGUUACUUGGUUUUGUUAAUUCCCUUGAGUCCAUGAAAACCUGGUUUCCUUUGUGUGAUGAACACUUUAUAACAAUAAGUUGCCACAAACUAGAAAUAACUUUGAAUUCAAUUUGUUUUUGUUGCUAAUAGGACCACUGACUCAGUUACAUUUACUUUUGUUUGGUUGCUUAAAAAAACCAACCCAAACCAGCCAGCACAGUGCCACUCGGUUGGAGGGAGUCAGGCCGAAGCUGCUUUGAUCAUCUCGGCCCAAACUGACUCUCCUCUACAGAUAAGGCUUCCUGGUACUGUAUGUGCCCACUAAGUGUCCACAUCCCUGAGCUGACCCCGGAGCCUAGAUGGCAGCCAAAUCACUGCCCAAAGUCCUUCCAUACCUGCUUUGGUGCCUCCUUGGGGCAGCUCCAUUGUCUCAUCUCGACAAUCCAAGUCUCUUUGUGUUGCUGGUCCUAAAUGUGUGGGGGUUUGUCGCAUGAUGCAAACACAGAUGCCUGGUGCCUGGCCGAGCACCUCGGAUGGGGACGUGGCUGUGCUGGGUGGCGCGAAGGGAUUUGGAGGGUAAUGUACCACUUUAGCUGUAUGUGCAUGUGUUCUCUGCUGCAGGCUUGGCCAUGCGAUCGUGCCUAGAGCACUCUGGUUUCCAGGUGACAGACACGAUUCACGGAGCACCAUUAGGUAAGGCAAAGGGGCUUCUUCCAUUGGCAGAGUAACCUUUUAACUGUGUCACCCCCGAGAAGAUACAGCUCUUGUUAUAACAGUGAGGUUUGCAAAAUGCUUUAUACACAUUCUAACUUGACCCUCA